rnacentral:rRNA from 1 species
AUUGAACGCUGGCGGCAGGCCUAACACAUGCAAGUCGAGCGGAGCGGCGGACGGGUGAGUAAUGCCUAGGAAUCUGACUGGUAGUGGGGGAUAAAGUCCGGAAACGGGCGCUAAUAACGACUUCUAUCAGAUGAGCAUAGGUCGGAUUAGCUAGUUGGUGGGGUAAAGGCCUACCAAGGCGACGAUCCGUACCUGGUCUGAGAGGAUGAUCAGUCAAACUGGAACUGAGACACGUUCCAGACUCCGACGGGAGGCAGCAGUGGGGAAUAUUGGACAAUGGGCGAAAGCCUGAUCCAGCCAUGCCGCGUGUAGUAAGAAGGUCUUCGGAUUGUAAAGCACUUUAAGUUGGGAGGCGUUACCAACAGAAUAAGCACCGGCUAACUUCGUGCCAGCCGCCGCGGUAAUAC